UACAGAGGGUGCGAGCGUUAAUCGGAAUUACUGGGCGUAAAGCGUGCGUAGACGGUUAUUUAAGUCGGGUGUGAAAGCCCCGGGCUCAACCUGGGAAUUGCAUUCGAGACUGAAUAGCUAGGGUACGGUAGAGGGAAGCGGGAAUUUCCGGUGUAGCGGUGAAAUGCGUAGAUAUCGGGAGGAACGACCUGUGGCGAAAGCGGACGCACUGGACCACAACUGACGCUGAGGCGCGAAAGCUAGGGGAGCAAACAGG
rnacentral:rRNA from 1 species